AGGGCAACCCUUGUCCUUAGUUGCCAGCACGUAAUAGUGGGAACUCUAGGGAGACUGCCGGUGACAAACCGGAGGAAGGUGGGGACGACGUCAAGUCAUCAUGGCCUUUAUGGGCAGGGCUACACACGUGCUACAAUGGCGAAUACAGAGGGUUGCCAACCAGCAAUGGUGAGCCAAUCCCUUAAAGCUCGUCGUAGUCCGGAUCGGAGUCUGCAAUUUGACUCGGUGAAGUCGGAAUCGCUAGUAAUCGCGAAUCAGAACGUCGCGGUGAAUACGUUCCCGGGUCUUGUACACACCGCCCGUCACACCAUGGAAGUAGGUUGCACCAGAAGUAGGUAGUCUAACCCUCGGGAGGACGCUUACCA
rnacentral:rRNA from 1 species